rnacentral:rRNA from 1 species
GUCGAGCGGUAACAUUUCUAGCUUGCUAGAAGAUGACGAGCGGCGGACGGGUGAGUAAUGCUUGGGAAUAUGCCUUAUGGUGGGGGACAACAGUUGGAAACGACUGCUAAUACCGCAUAAUGUCUACGGACCAAAGGGGGGGAUCUUCGGACCUCUCGCCAUUUGAUUAGCCCAAGUGAGAUUAGCUAGUUGGUGAGGUAAUGGCUCACCAAGGCGACGAUCUCUAGCUGGUUUGAGAGGAUGAUCAGCCACACUGGGACUGAGACACGGCCCAGACUCCUACGGGAGGCAGCAGUGGGGAAUAUUGCACAAUGGGCGCAAGCCUGAUGCAGCCAUGCCGCGUGUGUGAAGAAGGCCUUCGGGUUGUAAAGCACUUUCAGUAAGGAGGAAAGGGAUGUAGUUAAUAACUGCAUUCUGUGACGUUACUUACAGAAGAAGCACCGGCUAACUUCGUGCCAGCAGCCGCGGUAAUACGAGGGGUGCAAGCGUUAAUCGGAAUUACUGGGCGUAAAGCGUUCGUAGGCGGUUGAUUAAGCAAGAUGUGAAAGCCCAGGGCUCAACCUUGGAACUGCAUUUUGAACUGGUCAACUAGAGUACUGUAGAGGGUGGUGGAAUUUCCAG